rnacentral:lncRNA from 1 species
UUGAAUAAACUUUUCUCUGAAGUUCCAGAGACUUCUCACCUACUCCUCCUUCUCUCUACUUUCUCUCUCUAUAACUUUCAUGAUUCAUCGGCUUAAUCUCGAUGUUAACAUGGUAUUAGAGCCUCGACGACGAUCCGAUCAUGUUUCUGUGUGAUUCGUGGUGUUGGAUGAAGUCUGUUUCGAGGUUUUUGGGGGUGAUUUCUGAGACCGUUUCAUCGAUGAUGAUUUCAAUCUAUCGGAGACCUUUCUGAGUGUCUCUUCGUGAUAUCCGAGUGUGUUUUCCUCUCCUGAACACUCUGGAAUGAUUUUGUGAUGAUUUUGGUUGGUUGAUUUUGG